UACCGUAGCACUCUUAAGCCUAAAAAUGUGGAGGCUUUAGUUUGCACGCGUGAUUGGUUAUAUGGUAUCAAAGAUGACAUGCAACCAAAAUUAGAUGAGCUUUCCAAGGAUAUCAUGCAAUUAGAUAUUGGAGAAUCUAUGCCAACACAAGUAUGAAUCUCUCAUACUAUGAUGCGGUAGCUGAAGGCCACAUUUGAUUGCCUCAUGAAGACUUAUGUGUUCCAGACACCAGACUGCAAAGAGUACAUGAAUAUACUGCAAAGAGUUAAAGAAGAGAGGGAACUAAAAUAAAUAAGGAAAAGAAGGAUAACUACAUGCUACAUUAUUGUAUAAUGUCUACAUAUGUUUUCCUUUACUGCUCUUCAUUGCUUAUUGCGGUAGGAAACCCCCUCUACCAAUAUUUCCAGGUCCUUGUGAAGACAUUUUUCCUUGCGACAUGAUUUGGGACUGUCCAGGGCCUUGAACAAAU